UCUGAUUUUAGCUUCCUGAUUUGGACUUUGGAUUCUAGUGGACUUUUUGAUUUUGCUUGCUGUGUUGGCAACUCGUGCUAAAGAGGGAUACUUACUCUGGUGAGACUCUUGCCUCCUUGACAUUUGAUACUGCCUUUUGCAGCUCAGUCUCUUCAGCAUCAGUCCUUUGGUUGGUGAACUGCUUGACUGCAGACACUCAUGAACUGUCUUUCCAGAUAAUGCCUUGAUGACAGACUUUAUGGAAGGAGAUUUCCCUUCCAAACAAUAAUCUCUUUUUCCUCCUUGCUGUCUUCUAUACACCAAGAAGAGUCUUCAUGAAGGGAGGAUAGAGAGAAAAGAAGAUGUCACCUGCUCCCAGCACUCAGAGAGAAACCAACUGCCACUCCCAGAGAGUAACUGCCACCGAAAACCAUUACAUCCCUCCCACCAUCAACAUUUGAAACUUACACUGUCUCAGAUCUGUUUCAAACCCCAAUUCUUUCUCAAGCCAGAUUCUCCACUUCUUACCCCUAAACUAAUUUAACAAAACAAUUUCUAAUAUCAUCCUUAUAGUGUGUAUGUAUGGAUGUAUGUGUGUGUGUGUGAGUAGGUAUAUACACACAA
rnacentral:lncRNA from 1 species